rnacentral:lncRNA from 1 species
AUACUUCGCUUCUAUACUAUCCCCUACAGGUGUACUAAUAGCUAAGGGAAUAUGCAUUAAUAUCUUAUCCUUAGCUAACCUUUUGGCAAAAUAAGGGGACACAAAUGAAUGAGUAGCUCCAGAAUCAAACAACACUCUAGCUUUAAUCUUAUCAAUGAGGAGCAUACCUGUCACAGCUGCAUUCGAUGCCUGUGCCUCUUGUGGAUUUACCGUGAAC